AAAUAUGAGGAUCAAGAGGAAGCUGCUAACUUUCUUCUUUAAUGGUUUAACUCCAUUUAUAUUUU
rnacentral:tRNA from 1 species